CUGGUUGAUCCUGCCAGUAGUCAUAUGCUUGUCUCAAAGAUUAAACCAUGCAUUUCUCGGUGUAAAUUCUUGUACGGUAAAACUGCGAAUGAUUCUUCAAAUCAGUUGCAAUCAACACCCUGAUUAAUAUACGGAUACCUACGGUAAUCCUCUUGCUCUAACGUGCUAGCUUGAGAUCAAUGCACAAGUUCACUUUUGACCCUGGUGUUUCUUCAUAGCAACCUGAAUUUAAUCGCUCUUCGCGAGGGAGGGUUUGAGUUUUGGACCAUCAUGUUUGACGGUUGUGUAUUGGACCACCGUGCAGUUGACGGGUAUCAGAGAAUUAGGGUUUGAUUCUGGAGAGGGUGCCUGAGAAACGGCAAGCACAUCUAAGGAAGGCAGCAGGCACGCAAAUUACCCAAUCCUGACACAGAGAGGUAGUGACAAGAAAUAACAAUGUGGAGCAAUCUUUGUUCUGAAUUUGGGAUGGGUCGUAGUUAAAUCUCACGACGAUUAUCGAUUGGAGGGCAAGUCUGG
rnacentral:rRNA from 1 species